GACCAAGUGUGGUGUAGUGGUUGAGUGUUGGACUAUAACUCCAGAGACUAGGGUUCAAAUCCCUGCUUGGCCA
rnacentral:tRNA from 1 species